CCUACGGGUGGCUGCAGUGGGGAAUAUUGGGCAAUGGGCGCAAGCCUGACCCAGCAACGCCGCGUGCAGGAAGAAGGCUUGGGUUGUUAACUUCUGUUAUGGGGGAAGAGCAAAAGACGUUACCCCUUGAAUAAGCCACGGCUAACUACGUUCCAGCAGCCGCGGUAAUACGUAGGUGGCAAGCGUUGUCCGGAUUUACUGGGUGUAAAGGGCGUUCAGCCGGAGAGACAAGUAAGAUGUGAAAUCCACGGGUUGAAACCGUGAACUGCAUUUGAAACUGUUUCCCUUGAGUGUCGGAGAGGUAAUCGGAAUUCCUUGUGUAGCGGUGAAAUGCGUAGAUAUAAGGAAGAACACCAGUGGCGAAGGCGGAUUACUGGACGAUAACUGACGGUGAGGCGCGAAAGCGUGGGGAGCAAACAGGAUUAGAUACCCCAGUAGUC
rnacentral:rRNA from 1 species